rnacentral:rRNA from 1 species
AGUGAACGCUGGCGGUAGGCCUAACACAUGCAAGUCGAACGGCAGCACAGUAAGAGCUUGCUCUUACGGGUGGCGAGUGGCGGACGGGUGAGGAAUACAUCGGAAUCUACUUUUUCGUGGGGGAUAACGUAGGGAAACUUACGCUAAUACCGCAUACGACCUACGGGUGAAAGCAGGGGAUCUUCGGACCUUGCGCGAUUGAAUGAGCCGAUGUCGGAUUAGCUAGUUGGCGGGGUAAAGGCCCACCAAGGCGACGAUCCGUAGCUGGUCUGAGAGGAUGAUCCGCCACACUGGAACUGAGACACGGUCCACACUCCUACGGGAGGCAGCAGUGGGGAAUAUUGGACAAUGGGCGCAAGCCUGAUCCAGCCAUACCGCGUGGGUGAAGAAGGCCUUCGGGUUGUAAAGCCCUUUUGUUGGUAAAGAAAAGCAGCAGGUUAAUACCCCGCUGUUCUGACGGUACCCAAAGAAUAAGCACCGGCUAACUUCGUG